CAGUAGCCACGGUAAUACGUAGGUGGCAAGCGUUGUCCGGAAUUAUUGGGCGUAAAGGGCUCGCAGGCGGUUUCUUAAGUCUGAUGUGAAAGCCCCCGGCUCAACCGGGGAGGGUCAUUGGAAACUGGGAAACUUGAGUGCAGAAGAGGAGAGUGGAAUUCCACGUGUAGCGGUGAAAUGCGUAGAGAUGUGGAGGAACACCAGCGGCGAAGGCGACUCUCUGGUCUGUAACUGACGCUGAGGAGCGAAAGCGUAGGGAGCGAACAGGAUUAGAGACCCGGGUAGUCCCUGUCUCUUAUAC
rnacentral:rRNA from 1 species